GGAGUCAACACGGGCCAGCAUCCCUGUGGGACACUUUCUACACCUUGUAGAGUCCAUGUCCCUGGCGAGUGGUCGUGAAGUGUUUGAGUUCCGCCCCGGCCUGGUUGACGACGAUGAGGCAGAUGAUACCAAGGGGCGAUGAUGGUGAUGAGGUAGUGGAGGCUGAAGACUUCCUGGACAUUGAUGUGGUUUAUUCCUAAAGGAUGCUGGGAUCACAGGGGCGUCAGCAGACCGGGUCGUUGCCAGACCUCGGCCCACUAAGGACACAGAUGGUGAUGCACAGCCUGGCUUGUCCUGUAGAAACAGUUAGGCGUCUGUCC